GCGAUAGUGGCGUAGUUGGUAACGCUCGACCUUGCCAAGGUCGAGACCGCGGGUUCGAGCCCCGUCUAUCGCU
rnacentral:tRNA from 1 species